rnacentral:rRNA from 1 species
UACGUAGGGGGCAAGCGUUGUCCGGAUUUAUUGGGCGUAAAGAGCGUGUGCGGCUUUACAGGUCCGUUGUGAAAACUCGAGGCUCAACCUCGAGACGCCGGUGGAAACCGUAAAGCUAGAGUCCGGAAGAGGAGAGUGGAAUUCCUGGUGUAGCGGUGAAAUGCGCAGAUAUCAGGAGGAACACCCGUGGCGAAAGCGGCUCUCUGGGACGGUACUGACGCUGAGACGCGAAAGCGUGGGGAGCAAACAGG